UACGGAGGGUGCAGCGUUGUCCGGAAUCACUGGGCGUAAAGGGCGCGUAGGCGGCUCAUGAAGGCUGUGGUGAAAGUCCGGGGCUCAACCUCGGAUCGGCCGUGGCGACUCGUGGGCUGGAGCACUGUAGAGGCGGGUGGAAUUCCGGGUGUAGCGGUGGAUGCGUAGAGAUCCGGAAGAACACCAGUGGCGAAGGCGGCCCGCUGGGCAGUGGCUGACGCUGAAGCGCGACAGCGUGGGGAGCAAACGAGGAU
rnacentral:rRNA from 1 species